rnacentral:rRNA from 1 species
UACGUAGGGUGCGAGCGUUAAUCGGAAUUACUGGGCGUAAAGCGUGCGCAGGCGGUUCGUUGUGUCGGCGGUGAAAGCCCCGGGCUUAACCUGGGAAUGGCCGUCGAAACUGGCGAACUGGAGUGUGGCAGAGGGGGGUGGAAUUCCGCGUGUAGCAGUGAAAUGCGUAGAGAUGCGGAGGAACACCGAUGGCGAAGGCAGGUCUCUGGGCUGACACUGACGCUCAUGCACGAAAGCGUGGGGAGCAAACAGG